rnacentral:rRNA from 1 species
UACAGAGGUGGCAAGCGUUGUUCGGAAUUACUGGGCGUAAAGGGCGCGUAGGUGGCCUUUUGAGUCAGACGUGAAAUCCCCCGGCUUAACCUGGGAACUGCGUCUGAUACUGGAAGGCUUGAGUUCGGGAGAGGGAUGUGGAAUUCCAGGUGUAGCGGUGAAAUGCGCAGAUAUCAGGAGGAACACCGAUGGCGAAGGCAGGUCCCUGGGCAUUAACUGACGCUGAGGAGCGAAAGCAUGGGGAGCGAACAGG